rnacentral:rRNA from 1 species
UACGUAGGGCGCAAGCGUUGUCCGGAAUUAUUGGGCGUAAAGAGCUCGUAGGCGGCUUGUCACGUCGGGUGUGAAAGCCCGGGGCUUAACCCCGGGUCUGCAUUCGAUACGGGCAGGCUAGAGUGUGGUAGGGGAGAUCGGAAUUCCUGGUGUAGCGGUGAAAUGCGCAGAUAUCAGGAGGAACACCGGUGGCGAAGGCGGAUCUCUGGGCCUGUCCUGACGCUCAGGCGCGAAAGCUAGGGGAGCAAACAGG